CCCGUAACGAGCGCAACCCUUGUCCUUAGUUACCAGCACGUUAUGGUGGGCACUCUAAGGAGACUGCCGGUGACAAACCGGAGGAAGGUGGGGAUGACGUCAAGUCAUCAUGGCCCUUACGGCCUGGGCUACACACGUGCUACAAUGGUCGGUACAAAGGGUUGCCAAGCCGCGAGGUGGAGCUAAUCCCAUAAAACCGAUCGUAGUCCGGAUCGCAGUCUGCAACUCGACUGCGAGAAGUCGGAAUCGCUAGUAAUCGUGAAUCAGAAUGUCACGGUGAAUACGUUCCCGGGCCUU
rnacentral:rRNA from 1 species